rnacentral:rRNA from 1 species
CCUACGGGAGGCAGCAGUGAGGAAUAUUGGUCAAUGGGCGAGAGCCUGAACCAGCCAAGUCGCGUGAGGGAGUACUGCCCUAUGGGUUGUAAACCUCUUUUGUCGGGGAGCAAAAGCCGGACGUGUCCGGCUGUGAGAGUACCCGAAGAAAAAGCAUCGGCUAACUCCGUGCCAGCAGCCGCGGUAAUACGGAGGAUGCGAGCGUUAUCCGGAUUUAUUGGGUUUAAAGGGUGCGCAGGCGGAUUUUUAAGUCAGGGGGAAACUCGUGGGGCUACACCCCAUACAGCCGGUGAAACUGGGGAUCUUGAGUGUGCGAGAGGUAUGCGGAAUGCGUGGGGUAGCGGUGAAAUGCAUAGAUCUCACGCAGAACCCCGAUUGCGAAGGCAGCAUACCGGUGCACAACUGACGCUCAGGCACGAAAGCGUGGGUAUCGAACAGGAUUAGAUACCCCAGUAGUC